UACGAAGGGGGCUAGCGUUGCUCGGAAUCACUGGGCGUAAAGCGCACGUAGGCGGCUUUUUAAGUCAGGGGUGAAAUCCUGGAGCUCAACUCCAGAACUGCCUUUGAUACUGAAGAUCUUGAGUUCGGGAGAGGUGAGUGGAACUGCGAGUGUGGAGGUGAAAUUCGUAGAUAUUCGCAAGAACACCAGUGGCGAAGGCGGCUCACUGGCCCGAUACUGACGCUGAGGCACGAAAGCGUGGGGAGCAAACAGG
rnacentral:rRNA from 1 species